rnacentral:ncRNA from 2 species
UCAGAUUCCUCGGGGUGCUGCAGUUCCGGUACGCGACCGGCCUUCGGCUGAGAUAAUACCCGUAGAACCUGGACAGGGUAAUGCCUGCGCAGGGAAGGUGGUCAGAUUAUUU